rnacentral:rRNA from 1 species
UACGUAGGGGGCGAGCGUUGUCCGGAAUUAUUGGGCGUAAAGGGCGCGUAGGCGGUCUUGUAAGUCAGCUGCGAAAGCCCGGGGCUCAACCCCGGAGGGUCGGCUGAUACUGCAGGACUGGAGUACGGAAGAGGUAGCUGGAAUUCCCGGUGUAGCGGUGAAAUGCGUAGAUAUCGAGAGGAACACCUGCGGCGAAGGCGGGUUGCUGGGCUGACACUGACGCUGAACUGCGAAAGCUAGGGGAGCGAACGGG